AUGGAUGAUACGCGCAGAGUUCCCUUGCUGAGCAUCAAGGCGGAGCCGGAACGCGACUAUGCUCCGGUGAAGACCUUCGGGGAGGGCGUGUCGGUUUGUUGGAAGGAGACUGUGAAGCUGUGGAAAGUUGCAGCUCCGGUGGCUUUUACGAGUCUCUUUCAGUUCCUCAUCCAGUCCACCACCACCAUCUUCGUCGGACAUCUCGGAGAUCUUGAGCUCUCUGCUAUUUCCCUCGCUCAUAAUGUCAUCAACGCCAUCGCCUUUGGCUUCCUGAUAGGUAUGGCAAAUGCACUUGGAACGCUUUGUGGACAAGCUUAUGGUGCAGGCCAAAUUGACUCACUUGGUAUCUAUAUGCAGCGCUCAUGCAUCAUCCUGACCAUCACUUGUUUUCUCCUCUCAUCACUUUACAUUUUCACCACUCCAUUCCUCAAGAUUUUAGGCCAACAAGACAGCAUAGCCGAGUUUGCUGGAAACUAUUGUCUGUUGAUAAUCCCUCAGAUGUUCGCCUUUGCCAUCAAUUUGCCCACCCAGAAGUUUCUUCAGGCUCAGAGCAAGGUCGGCGUCAUUACAUGGAUCUCCUUUGUGGCUCUAGUCACACACACAGGACUCCUUUAUCUUUUCAUUAGUGUACUCGGCUGGGGGUCAAUGGUGCAGCUGUAGCUUAUAACAUCACAUUCUGGGAAGUUGCAGUUGGUCAGUUUGUGUAUGCUGUAUUUUUGUGCAAGGAAGGUUGGAAUGGAUUUUCAUGGUUAGCAUUCAAAGACAUUUGGGCAUUUGCUAAGCUGUCCCUUGCCUCAUGUAUGAUGAUUUGCCUAGAGAGGUGGUACCACAUGAGUAUGAACAUUCUCGCCGGUCAACUUGAGAAUGCAGUGAUUGCCCUUGGUUCCUUUUCCAUAUGCUUGAACUUUCAAAGUUGGGAAACCAUGAUUUUGGUUGGACUGAAUACUGCUAUAAGCAUUCGAGUCUCAAAUGAACUUGGAAUGGGGCACCCAAGAGCGGCCAAAUACUCUAUCUGUGUUGCAGUCUUGCUAUCUCUCGUUGUUGGGAUUGUGUCUAUGACAUCUAUCUUCUUAAGUGGAGACCACAUUGCCAGUGUUUUCACAGACAGCAAAGUUAUGCAACGAGCUGUUGCUCAUUUAGCAUACUUUCUCGGCGCAGCCAUGCUUCUUAAUAGUGUUGCAGAAGUUUUGACAGGGGUUGCAGUUGGAGGUGGAUGGCAAGUGAUGGUAGCUUAUAUAAAUUUCGCUGCUUAUUAUUUAUUUGGUCUCCCUUUGGCAAUAUUUCUGGGAUUUAAAGCAAACUUGGGUCCAAUGGGACUGUAUGGUGGCAUAAUAAGUGGAAGCGCUCUACAGAUCUUGUUCUUAUUGAUUAUGACUUCCAGAACCAACUGGGACACUGAGGUGGAGCAAACGACGAAGCGCAUAAAGAAAUGGGGGAGCAAAGAAAUAAGAACUGAGAAGAAGAUGGAUUGCUGAUACCAAUAUGAAGUUUCCUACAAAAACAUAAACAUGGAAAGCUAAUUUUGAUGCAGCAUAGAUUUAAGGAGUAUAGUCUCAUGUGCCAACAUGCUCCCCCACUCAUUUAUGUGUUCAAAUAAAGAAGGGGAAGCUGAGUAGCUAUCAUGGCAACAGUUUACACAGUUGAUUAGGUUAAGUGAGGGUUAAGGUAGCGAUUUAGUCGUUGCUGUGGACUGUGGUAGCUAAUUAGAAUGGUAUGAAAGGGAAAAAUGUACAUUGCGCGAAUACGAUUGAUGUCCUCGAUUUCAACUAAAGAGUAUCACAAAGAAGUUUGAAGCUUCCGAUCCAUUCAGUAAGUGGGAGGUGAAGAAACCUUUAUUGUUCUACUGGCUAGAUGUGAAAUAACAAAUACAUUUACUGCAUUGCAAUGACAAAA